UACGUAGGGGUCGAGCGUUGUCCGGAGUUACUGGGCGUAAAGCGCGCGCAGGCGGCGCGAUAAGACCGGCGUGAAAGCCCCCGGCUCAACCGGGGAGGGUCGUUGGUGACUGUCGCGCUUGAAGGCAGCAGGGGUGAGUGGAAUUCAUGGUGUAGCAGUGAAAUGCGUAGAGAUCAUGAGGAAGACCAGUGGCGAAGGCGGGUCUCUGGACAGUUCCUGACACUGAGGCACGAAGGCCAGGGGAGCAAACGGG
rnacentral:rRNA from 1 species